CUGGUUGAUCCUGCCAGUAGUCAUAUGCUUGUCUCAAAGAUUAAGCCAUGCAUGUCUAAGUAUAAGCAAUUGUACGGUGAAACUGCGAAUGGCUCAUUAAAUCAGUUAUCGUUUAUUUGAUAGUACCUUACUACUUGGAUAUCCGUGGUAAUUCUAGAGCUAAUACAUGCUGAAAAUCCCGACUUCGGAAGGGACGUGUUUAUUAGAUAAAAAACCAAUGCCCUUCGGGGCUUUUUGGUGAUUCAUGAUAACUUUACGGAUCGCAUAGCCUUGCGCUGGCGACGGUUCAUUCAAAUUUCUGCCCUAUCAACUUUCGAUGGUAGGGUAUUGGCUUACCAUGGUUUCAACGGGUAACGGGGAAUUAGGGUUCGAUUCCGGAGAGGGAGCCUGAGAAACGGCUACCACAUCCAAGGAAGGCAGCAGGCGCGCAAAUUACCCAAUCCCGACACGGGGAGGUAGUGACAAUAAAUACUGAUACAGGGCUCUUUUGGGUCUUGUAAUUGGAAUGAGUACAAUUUAAACCUCUUAACGAGGAACAAUUGGAGGGCAAGUCUGGU
rnacentral:rRNA from 1 species